ensembl:ncRNA Y47G6A.37 ncRNA
AGGCAAGCUAUGUUUCCAUGGAAACCAGAGCCCCAACUUUUUUGGCAGAAAAAAAAAAUUUCAUAGUGCUACUUUUGAGUUCUUCUCAUUUUCCUUGUUAAUAAU